CCUACGGGAGGCAGCAGUGAGGAAUAUUGGUCAAUGGUCGGAAGCCUGAACCAGCCAAGUAGCGUGCGGGAUGACGGCCCUACGGGUCGUAAACCGCUUUUGUACGGGGAUAACACCCUCCACUUGUGGUGUUCUGCAGGUACCGUACGAAUAAGGGCCGGCUAAUUCCGUGCCAGCAGCCGCGGUAAUACGGAAGGCCCGGGCGUUAUCCGGAUUCAUUGGGCUUAAAGGGAGCGUAGGCGGGCGUUCAAGUCAGCUGGAAAAUCGCGCGGCUCAACCGCGCCCCGCAGUUGAAACUGGACGCCUUGAGUGCACAACAGGCAGGCGGAAUUCGUGGUGUAGCGGUGAAAUGCAUAGAUAUCACGAGGAACCCCGAUUGCGAAGGCAGCCUGCCGGGGUGCGACUGACGCUGAGGCUCGAAGGUGCGGGUAUCAAACAGGAUUAGAUACCCGAGUAGUC
rnacentral:rRNA from 1 species